rnacentral:other from 1 species
UGUGCGUGGUCAAUCUGACUAUGUUAUGAGCCAACACCAUAACAUAGGGAGCCUGGACUCUGGUUGUGGCGUGUAAGCCUCUGCGGGAGGACACACAAAGCAAUCAGGAGGGCACCCACCUGCCAAGUGCAGGUUCAUUAACGGUCAGGAAAAUAGCGGCAUGGUGGGGUUUUC